rnacentral:rRNA from 1 species
GACGAACGCUGGCGGCGUGCUUAACACAUGCAAGUCGUACGGUAAGGCCCUUUCGGGGGUACACGAGUGGCGAACGGGUGAGUAACACGUGAGUAACCUACCCACAACUUUGGGAUAACGCUAGGAAACUGGUGCUAAUACUGGAUAUGUGCUCCUGCUGCAUGGUGGGGGUUGGAAAGCUCCGGCGGUUGUGGAUGGACUCGCGGCCUAUCAGCUUGUUGGUGGGGUAGUGGCCUACCAAGGCGGCGACGGGUAGCCGGCCUGAGAGGGUGACCGGCCACAUUGGGACUGAGAUACGGCCCAGACUCCUACGGGAGGCAGCAGUGGGGAAUAUUGCACAAUGGGCGCAAGCCUGAUGCAGCAACGCCGCGUGCGGGAUGACGGCCUUCGGGUUGGAAACCGCUUUCAGCAGGGACGAAGCUUUUUGUGACGGUACCUGCAGAAGAAGCACCGGCUAACUACGUG